rnacentral:misc_RNA from 1 species
GAAAGCUCGAGCGAGGUUGUGGCUGGUCCCUCCCGGGGGGCAACGUGCACGCCUCGUCUCUCGUCUUCAUCUAUCAACCCCUGUGCACCUCUGCGUGGGUCCCCAUCUCGGGGGCUUGCGUCCUUUCACCACAAAACACAUUCGUAUGUAUCGGAACGUUAUGAUGAUGAUAAAAACCAGUACAACUUUCAACAACGGAUCUCUUGGCUCU